rnacentral:rRNA from 1 species
GACGAACGCUGGCGGCGUGCCUAAUACAUGCAAGUUGAGCGCUGAAGGUUGGUACUUGUACCGACUGGAUGAGCAGCGAACGGGUGAGUAACGCGUGGGGAAUCUGCCUUUGAGCGGGGGACAACAUUUGGAAACGAAUGCUAAUACCGCAUAAAAACUUUAAACACAAGUUUUAAGUUUGAAAGAUGCAAUUGCAUCACUCAAAGAUGAUCCCGCGUUGUAUUAGCUAGUUGGUGAGGUAAAGGCUCACCAAGGCGAUGAUACAUAGCCGACCUGAGAGGGGGAUGGGCCACAUUGGGACGGAGACACGGCCCAAACUCCCCCGGGAGGCAGCAGUAGGGAAUUUUCGGCAAUGGACGAAAGUUUGACCGAGCAACCCCGCGGGGGGGAAAAAGGUUUUCGGAUGGUAAAACCCUUUUGGUAGGGAAAAACGUUGGGGGGAGUGAAAAGCCCUUAAAGUGGGGGAAACUACCCAGAAAGGAACGGCAAACUACGU